rnacentral:rRNA from 1 species
UACGUAGGGUGCGAGCGUUGUCCGGAAUUAUUGGGCGUAAAGAGCUCGUAGGCGGUGUGUCACGUCGGCCGUGAAAACCUGCAGCUUAACUGUGGGCGUGCGGUCGAUACGGGCAUCACUGGAGUUCGGCAGGGGAGACUGGAAUUCCUGGUGUAGCGGUGAAAUGCGCAGAUAUCAGGAGGAACACCGGUGGCGAAGGCGGGUUCUCUGGGCAUGUCCUGACGUGAGGAGCGAAAGUGUGGGGAGCGAACAGG